UUAUCAUUGAAGCCAGAUGAAUCUUUGUUGUGUGCGAAAAUUUGACAUUUGUGCAUGUGCAAAAGCGCAUGAAGAGGCUUUGGCCCAUGAAGGAGUAACCCUUAUAGAGCCUGAACUUCCUCCGUAAGCAACCAGAAAGCAGGCAAAAAUAUACAAAAUAGCUCUUUGCAGAUACUGGACAAUAGGCUGCUCAUGAGGUGAUCCUCUAGGGAAAGGAAAUGAGGAGGUAAGCCCUCUGGUCUUCCUGUCAGGAGACAAUUUCCACUUCUCAGUGCAGUGAGGAGGAAGACAAAGCAGGGAUGCCAGAGCAGCUGGAAUUUGCAGCAAGCACAACAGAGGAAAAAAGCCAUGCAGAGGAAAAGCUCUGAACUUGUGUUUGCGGGGCUCCUCAAGGCUUUUGGUGAAUACUCAUUUGUGUUGCAUGGGAUGAAACUGAGGGAGCAAAGAGAAGAACAGCUGCUAAGGAGCCAUAAGCAGAGCCUUUUCCAGGACUGAGUGACAUUGGAGUUCACUGCAGUGAUAGUGGAGAGAACUGUGGAACACCCAAGCACUCAGUAGGCACCUCAGAAGAGUCAUGCCUUAGUGUCUAGUACGUAGCUUAGAAAACACUCCUUCAUACACAUGUUGAAAACAAAACUCAAUUUCUUCUACUACACUCACAACACAUCACUUCUGACUUCAGAGGUGCGUGCUGGGGUUUCCUCCAUAGUUCUUGAUUUAGAACUCCCUCCCCAAGAUCAGCUAGAAACUAGAAUUUCUCUUCCCCCUGGCAGGUCAAUUCUAGCAACCAAGCAGUUGUAUAGUGGCAGACACCAGUUGGUUGUCCACCAAUUCAACCCAAUUCCAACACUACCUGGAGACAGUAUCAGAUCCCAUAGGUUCAGGGCUCAGUCCCCAAGGCCUCCCCAUUCCUUAGAUUCCAAUUGCAAGCCCUAGAUAGUUUUACCUGAUACAUUGUUUUAAAUAUUUAUUUUUAGUUUUAGGUAGACAAAGUAUCUUUAUUUUACAUUUAUGUGAUGCUGAGGAUCGAACCCAGUGUCCCAUGCAUGCUAGGCGAGCGCUCUACCACAGAGCCACAACCCCAGCCCUUACCUGAUAUUUUUAAUGGACUGGCAAUACAACCCCCACCUGAUUUCAAUUAAUUUGCUCAAGUAGCUCACAGAACCCAGGAACUUGUUUAGGUUUACUGAUAUUAC
rnacentral:lncRNA from 1 species